UGGUUCAGGGAGCUCCAACUCCAGUAGGAACCCUGGGGAUGGGCAAGAUCUCCAUGCCCAGCAACCCACAGUUUAUUCCCAGCUGUAGGUUCAAGUUUAGCAUCACACAAACAAUACUGGGUAUUUCUGUCCAAAAUCUUUAUUUUUCUUCUAUGUAACACUCCCUGUCCCACCGGUGUACAUUCCAAGUGCAGGGAUCAGCUCAGUGCUCAAGGAGGCAAAUUUCUUGACCAACCUCAGUUGAGUCAAAAAUAAAACAAGCCAAGAGCUGGGGUAUCUCCAUGGGUUUGCACCUUCCAAAGGGCAGAGAGCAAAGUAGCUUGGAGCUGGCAAUCAUUGCUAUGGCUAAAUUCUGCAAUGCCAUUCCUGAGCCCUGGUGCAGCAGGAAGCGGGUGAGGGACAAUGGGCAGGCAGGGAAGCAAUGCAAUGCAGAAAGCACUGAAGAAGCUAAAAAUUGACAGGGCUGUGGUUUAAAACCCAUCAGUAUCAGGAGGUUAUGCAAAAUAAGGGUUAAUCAUAAGAAGGAAUAAUAAGAAGAAAGGGUUAAUAAAUAACUCAACUUACUUCCUCAAACUGGGACUGAAUCAGCCUUGAAAAACAGUAGUACAGGCUGUACUGUAAUGAAAAUCUGGGACUAAGGACUGUCCUCCCUGUCUGCAGCUGUGCCCAUGCAGAAGCUGCUGAAAGCUGAGUCUAUCACAUAAAAGAUUUAUUGAGGUGAUAGGGCCAAAAGAGGAGGAAAAGGCAGAAAUAUCCCUUUAUACAGACUGAACACCUCAACCUUUGAAAAAAAUCUUGCAGACAGCCUGUUGCCUGGGGUUAAAGAACAAUGCUGAUGGGUUGCAGCAACACCAGCCAUGUCAGAAGCUGUGCUGGCUUCAGUGCCUGCUUUUGUCCCUUUCCAGCUGGAUCAGGACAUUGUUGCUGCUGUCGGCAGCUUCCAACACAAGACAAGUGGAAGUGGGAACUGCAGGAUGACACCAGCUGGUUUGGGGGAGCCACAUCCGGGACGAUAUAUCCUUCCUGGUUAUCGUUAUUCCUCUACCCACACGGAUGCAGGAACACUCCCCUGGGGAGUGAAGAAAGGCCCAUUUGUCACCCACUCGACAGCAUUGGGCUGCUGCAGUGAUCCCCUGCCUGCACCAGCUUCCAGGAAGGGCAAGUAGCUGAUGAAUGGUCACAACUGGGUCGGCACCAACAUCUUCACUCGUCUGCAAUUACAGACGGAGUGACAAGGGCAGCAGGGGCGUUCCCAGGCCAGCAGCAACACUGGGGGGGAAGCCCCCACUCCUGCCCCACCACUUCUGUCUCCCAAUAAAG